GGUCACACAGCAAGCAAGGCAAUCAUGGCACAAGGGAGUCCCUUGUGAUGCUCUGGGUCACAGAGCACUACCCGUCUCCUACAUCUGGCCAAACAAUUUUACCCUUAGAACAGCAAAGCUCUACAUGCCAUUUGGGUUCUAGAACUCAUUUCUUUGAUAGGAGUUAUUUCCAAAUUAUAACUGAAGGUUUGAGUAUAAAAUAGAUUACACUCUGCAUUUGGAUUCCUCAAAUCCUGACUUCUGUAUUCACAACCCACCAGGGCCCCACCCAGUCCUCAUGUGGUUGCAGGGACUCAGCAUCAGGACAACCCACCUUGUGGCAUCAUGUGAGUACAAGGUGGUCCAUGGCCUCACUGUCUCUGGAGACCUGGGCCACUGCUGAGCUACCCACGGAACUGAAUUCACGGAAUGGUAGACUCUGUGGAAUUACAGCAGCGAGUUGCAAAUGGUGCACAAAAUACAAGUCCCGCACCAGUGCACCAGGAGCCGUUUGAUGUGAGUUGCAGGGCCUUGCCUGGGGAUAUGGCUUUUGCUGGUCCAGUGAUACUGCCUGGGGAGGCCGGUGUGCAGUCACUCACUCACUCCAGCCCCCUGACAGCAAACAUGAGUGGGUGAGCUAAACUGCAGUGGGCAUUUCUGAAUUGCCUUCACCACCAUCCAGGGCCCCAGAAUGGAGAGAGAUGCUGACAUAGGGUGGGGACAUGGGACAAGGGUCAUGCCAUCAUAAAAUCUACUUAGCCUGUGAAAAAGCUCCAGCUUAUUCUGUAACUUGUUCUAUAUGCUGUUCUUCCUCUUCUUCUAGCCCCUUAAUCAAUUAGGUAACUUUGUAACCAGGACGAGAGACAGACCUCUGGAGCAUAAACGAACCUAUGUGGGUAAAGAAUGCCAAGAUCUGGAUCAACAUACUCACCUAAAAACCCUAUUCUUAAUAUGAAAACUCAAAGGAAUUAUUAUCACCUAUAUACACCAUGCCUUAUGCUGACCCUUACCCAAAA